CGAAAAUAAAAUAAAAAAUGGCGGUUAACAAUUUAAAGCGCUGCUUGAAGUUAGGGGAGAAAUAUAUGUUAAAUGUGCAUUGUUUGAGGUGUAGUAGUUUUGAUGUGAAAAAUUUCAAAUCUAAAAACGAAACAGAAAAUGAUGGUUGUAAAGAGAGGGGUUUGAAGUGGACACAAACUGUCCUUGUUUCAGUAUUAGGUUUAGGGUUAGGUUUGGGUUAUGUCAAUAAAGACAAGUUUGCCGAAGCAUUUAAGGAUUUCAGGGUGUUACCAAUUAUUCAAGCAGCAACAGUUAUUGUUCCUGGUGAUGACGAGGGCUCUAAAGGACCAGGAAGGAGAUUUCGCUUUAACUUCAUUGCCGAUGUUGUGGAAAAAGUUGCCCCUUCGGUUGUGUACAUAGAAAUCCGUGAUAACAGAUGGUUGUCAACGGUUUCAAAUGGAUCUGGCUUUAUUGUCAAAGAAGAUGGUCUCAUACUGACAAAUGCCCAUGUAGUAAUCGGUAAACCACGUAGCAAAGUUCAGGUGCGGCUGCAGGAUGGUAAAGAGUAUUAUGGUGUUGUGGAGGAUAUAGACGUUAAAUCAGACUUGGCAACUGUUCGCAUCCCUUGUAAGAAUCUCCCCGUGAUGACUCUCGGCUCGUCGCAGACGUCUCGCCCGGGCGAGUUCGUGGUCGCGCUCGGCAGUCCCCUGUCGCUGUCCAACACCAUCACCGCCGGCGUGAUCAGCUCCGUGAGCCGGCCGAGCGAGGAGCUGGGGCUCCGCGGCCGGGACAUGGAGUACAUCCAGACGGACGCCGCCAUCACGUUUGGAAACUCCGGGGGACCGUUGGUGAAUUUGGAUGGUGAAGCAAUUGGUAUAAACUCGAUGAAAGUGACCGCUGGUAUAUCAUUUGCUAUUCCAAUUGAUUAUGCAAAAGAUUUUCUUAAGAGAAGUGGAGAAAAGAAGAAAGCAGGUGGAAAUAUUGCAGGAACAUUGGAUCGCCCAUCCGGUCGCCGGCGUUACAUCGGCGUCACGAUGAUGACGCUGACUCCUCAGAUAAUUGAGGAGAUGCAGUCGAGAAGUCGCAUUCUGAGUGUUGACGUCACACAUGGAGUCAUGAUGUGGCGAGUUGUCGUUGGAUCCCCAGCACACAAAGCUGGAAUUCUACCGGGAGAUAUAAUAACACAUCUGAAUGAGAAACCCGUGAAGGAUGCCCGUGAUAUCUACAAGGCUCUAGAGGAGGAGGGAAUUCUCGUGGUCUCUGUUGUUCGCCAAGGCCACCGAUUCCAAGCAACCAUUGUUCCUGAGGAAACAUAAGAAGUGGAUACAAGCUUGUCAAACUAUGGAGAAGAAAGUCUGAAGAUAUACAUCUUUUUUUUUGUUCACUGCUCCUGCACAGAUGCUCCCUGCGGGCAACAAUGACACACCACCCCACCCAUCUUCGAUCAGUGGGACUGGCACGCACCACCCGAAGUCACUCCGCACAGGGUUGCCACCCACCUGGUACACCGAUGGCCUCCCCACCUGCGGCAUCUGGGACCAGAGGCUAGGCCACUCCUCCGGGUGCCCGUGCGGCUGGAUGGACGGGCCAUGGAGGUGUUAGUGGACACUGCGGCUACCCACACCUACAUCACGGCCCACCUCGUCUCCGAGGAGGACAUGGAGCACGGGGUCGAGACCAUCCAGCUGGCCACCACUGGAGGUAAAGCGCUCACGACCGGGCAUGUCCAGGUGAGCAUUACCAUUCGAGACCAAAUGAGCCAAACUCAAGCCCUCAUUGUCCACGACCUGAGGGAGGUUUUUGGGUUUCACUUGGCUGGUGCAGCAUAAGGCCACCAUUGAGGUACAUCAGGGUAAAUUUCAUGUAGGCAACCAGAGAAGGUACAUGGUACACCCCCCCCCCCUCCCCCCACGUUCGCCCAAUCACUAGGGUUCAGCCCCUCGUAACUUACAGCCAUUAGGGACCAGCUGGCAGAGUUGCAGAGAGAGGGUGUGAUCGAACCCAGCGAGUCCUACAAUUGCUGUAUCGUGAUGGCGAGCAAGAAGGACCCUUAGGUCCUCUAAGUUAACGCAAAACCCUUAGGUUUUGCGAUAACUUAGAGCCGGUGUAAGACAUCACCACAUCACCCCUCAUCAACAUUGUGUAGGUCCUCAUCAGGCUGGGUAACGCCCAGGUGUUCACAUGCCUCAAUCAUGUAUUUAGGUUACUGGCAGGUAACUGAACACCCAGCGGGCAAGCCCAAAACAUUCUUUAUGGCCCCCAUUGAAUGUACGUUCCAGUUCUGUGCCAUGCUGUUUGGGCUCAUAGAUGCCCCAGCAACAUUCCAGGUCAUGAUGGUCGGCGUCCUGGAUGAGUACGUCGGUCAGUAUGACAUGAUCAUCUGGUCCCGGACGUCAGAGAGGACCAUGCCCACCAUCUGCGCUGGUACUCAAAUGUUAGUCCACACAUGGACUCACCU